UGGCAACGGGUGAGUAACACGUGGGCAACCUGCCCAAAAGAGGGGGAUAACACUUGGAAACAGGUGCUAAUACCGCAUAACCAUAGUUACCGCAUGGUAACUAUGUAAAAGGUGGCUAUGCUACCGCUUUUGGAUGGGCCCGCGGCGCAUUAGCUAGUUGGUGGGGUAAAGGCUUACCAAGGCAAUGAUGCGUAGCCGAACUGAGAGGUUGAUCGGCCACAUUGGGACUGAGACACGGCCCAAACUCCUACGGAAGGCAGCAG
rnacentral:rRNA from 1 species